rnacentral:rRNA from 1 species
GUCGCAAGACUGAAACUCAAAGGAAUUGACGGGGGCCCGCACAAGCGGUGGAGCAUGUGGUUUAAUUCGAAGCAACGCGCAGAACCUUACCAGGUCUUGACAUCCACGGAACCCUGGUGAAAGCCGGGGGUGCCCGCAAGGGAGCCGUGAGACAGGUGCUGCAUGGUCGUCGUCAGCUCGUGUCGUGAGAUGUUGGGUUAAGUCCCGCAACGAGCGCAACCCUUGUUGCUAGUUGCCAUCAGUUCGGCUGGGCACUCUAGCGAGACUGCCUACGAAAGUAGGAGGAAGGCGGGGAUGACGUCUGAUCCGCAUGGCCCUUACGACCUGGGCGACACACGUGCUACAAUGCCUGCCACAAAGCGCUGCGACCCGGCAACGGGAAGCCAAUCGCAUAAAAGCAGGCUCAGUUCGGAUUGGGGUCUGCAACUCGACCCCAUGAAGCUGGAAUCGCUAGUAAUCGCGGAUCAGCCAUGCCGCGGUGAAUACGUUCCCGGGCCUUGUACACACCGCCCGUCAAGCCAUGGGAGUGGGUUUUGCCUGAAGUCGCCGGGAGCCACAGGCAGGCGCCUAGGGUAAGGCUCAUGACUGGGGCUAAGUCGUAACAAGGUAACC